GUGGCUGUAGCUCAGCUGGAAGAGCGCCGGACUGUGGAUCCGGAGGUCGCUGGGUUCGAGUCCCGCCAGUCACC
rnacentral:tRNA from 1 species